GGGCGCCGGAUUAUCGUGUCCGGUAGUCACGGGCACGUAUACACGCGCCGUUAUUGUUUUUAUUUCGUAUGCGCGGUCCGGACCGCGUUUCACAUGUUAUUGACGUUUCCCCGCAAUCGAAACGAGCCGCAGACGCGUACGGAAUCGCAAACGCCGUAACGCUUGGUGUCCGCCGCGGUUUGUCCGUCGACCACUCGCGCAUAUAGGCUUUAGGUGGUUCUGUAGGAAGAAAACUAAGGGGCCCCCCGGGAAUAACGAUUUAGAUCGGCGAACAACGGCGAUGGGAUUGCUCGGGCCGCCGAGCUGCCGGGGAGAACGAGAAGAACGAAGAAAGAAGGCUUCAGGAGCCUUUUAGGAGGUCGCUCGCACCCGUGACUGGGGAAACGGCAAUUUAUACGCACUUGAAAUCUACAAAGAAGCGCUCGGAAAAUAUUUAAAAGGACACAUUACAAUAAAACGGCAGAGUGGUUUAAAAGUCUCUCCCCUCUCCCUCUAAUACGAGUUCUGACUCAUUAAAAAUACUAUGCGUCAAUAAUCAUUCGUCGGAGUUGGAAAAUUACAACAUCAAAUAGGGUUAGAACCGUUAGAGGAGGGGGGGUGGGUUGAGACUUUAUAACCCGUCUGUCGCCUUUUUAUAAAUGUUUUCAAAUGAUCUCCGGACGAUUCGAGCGCUUUAUCGCGGUUUUUAAGUGCGCGAUAAAUCCGUUCCUCGUUUUUUACCGUCGAUCCAUACGCCCCGGCAGGUUUCGGGCGUACACCCGGGACGCGUUUAAAACGUGUACCGGUUUAUAAAGCGCCGAGGAUUCGCGUUCGCGCCCGCGUGAUAGGAAACGUAAACGCGCGUCCGGGCGCGCGAAUUGUUGUCAAUGUUGUUGCGGUUUUCGACUAGAGCCCUCCGGAAUGUCGUCGGCAACGAUUUCGGAGACCGAGAGAAGCGAUAAAACGCGUCCGCUCCCGGCCCGGUCGCGAGCGACUGAUCAGCGGUGGUUUUGUUUGUACCGACGAAAUGGCGGCGGCGCAGGCAGAGCAGCCGGUUUUGUUCGGCCGACGACAUUUCCCGCGUCUAACUCAAUUUAUCGCAUUGUAUUUCUUCCGGCAAUAAUAGCGUUCGAUCGGCGGCGGCGAGAAUUUCCCACUUGGCCGAGGGAAAAAAAAAAAACCGCGGCG